GGAGCUCCGCUCGCGGUACUCGCGGUCUGGAUCAUUUCGAAGCUGAAAGUGGAUAACGUGGGAUGUUGGGAUGACAAUGAGAACGAAUAUAUCUGGUGGAUUAUAAGAGGAGCCAUAUUGUUUGCAGUCUUGAUCAACUUUAUGAUAUUUCUGAACAUCAUCCGAAUUCUGGUGGAGAAACUGAAAUCGCAGGAUGCGGG